rnacentral:tRNA from 1 species
GCGGGUGUCGUACAAUGGUAGUACGUGGGCUUCCCAAGCCCGAGACGUGGGUUCGAUUCCCAUCACCCGCUCCA